UACGUAGGUGACCAGCGUUGUCCGGAUUUAUUGGGCGUAAAGAGCGUGUAGGCGGCUUUACAGGUCCGUUGUGAAAACUUGAGGCUCAACCUCGAGACGCCGGUGGAAACCGUAAGGCUAGAGUCCGGAAGAGGAGAGUGGAAUUCCUGGUGUGAGCGGUGAAAUGCGCAGAUAUCAGGAGGAACACCCGUGGCGAAAGCGGCUCUCUGGGACGGUACUGACGCUGAGACGCGAAAGCGUGGGGAGCAAACAGG
rnacentral:rRNA from 1 species